rnacentral:rRNA from 1 species
AAUCAACGCUGGCGGCGUGCCUCAGACAUGCCAGUCGAACGAUUAAACUUCCCUUCGGGGAAGAUAUAAAGUGGCGCACGGGUGAGUAACACGUAGGUAAUGUACCUUUGGGUGGGGAAUAACUUAGGGAAACUUAAGCUAAUACCGCAUAAUGCAGCGGCUCCUUCGGGAGACAGUUGUUAAAGAUUUAUCGCCUAAAGAGCAGCCUGCGGCAGAUUAGCUAGUUGGUAAGGUAACGGCUUACCAAGGCUACGAUCUGUAUCCGACCUGAGAGGGUGGUCGGACACACUGACACUGAAUAACGGGUCAGACUCCUACGGGAGGCAGCAGUCGGGAAUUUUGGGCAAUGGGCGAAAGCCUGACCCAGCAACGCCGCGUGAAGGAUGAAGUCUUUCGGGAUGUAAACUUCGUAAGAAUAGGAAGAAUAAAUGACGGUACUAUUUGUAAGGUCCGGCUAACUACGUG